rnacentral:lncRNA from 1 species
GCUAUAUAUGUUCAAAUUGAUUAUUCCAGAAUUUUCAGAAUUAUAUGGAUCCUUUUAUCUUCAAUUUUAGAGGUUUACCAUUUGAAAAAUUUUGUUUUUUCUCUUUUGCAGAGUUAGGUUUUUUUUUGCAUAACUGCAAUCACAAUUUUUUUAAUAUAUAUUCACUUUGUGUGUAUGUGUGUGUGUGUGUACAUGUAUGCAUGUGUACAUGUAUGCAUGUGCACAUGUAUGUUUUUUUACAUUUAUCAUGUAUGUAUAUCAUUUCUUUUCUUCUCAAGCAGAUCCUCAUUAUCUUACCCUUAUUUUUUAAAAAAAUGAUUAUAUUGUUAAUGAAUAAGAUCCUUGUAUUCAGUUUUGUUCAAUCAAAGCUUGAUAUGAUAUUCAAAUAUCUCCACUGUAUGUCUAUUAUAUAUCGUCUUAAUAUUCCAUUUUUCAUAAUGAUGUGAAGAUAUGGGAAUGAAAAGUUCAGAGCAAUGCUGUAUAAAGUUUUAGCUUCCAAGAAAAUGUGUGAGUGUGUGUGUGUGUGAUGUAAUGAAAGUUUGGAUUUGGUGAAAUCUUGAUAUAUUCCUUGGGCAGCACUCAGAUGCUGCCCUAGAACCAUGACUGCCUCUUUUCAGCUCAGAAUGAGGGACUCCAACCAUUUAAAAAGAUCAUAUAUAUAUAUAUCUUGUAUAUUAAAAGGCAAGUUGUCUGUCUGUGUGUUGUGUGAAUGACUUCUACUCCUACAAUUUUCAACCAAAUUUUACUAAAUUUGACAUGUGUCUUUGACUUAGGACACUUUUUCUUAUAAUUUUUACCUUGAAAUUCCAUGCCCCCAACAUAGACUACUCUCAAUUUGUCUAGGAUUUGAACCCACCAUGUCUAUGCAAUGGUAUGCAUUUGACCUUAUAUCUUAUAUAUUAAAAGGCAAAUUUGUCUGUCUGCUUCUGUAUGUGUUUUGGCUGACCUUGACAUUGUAAACAAAUUUGACACUUUCUUUCUAGGCAUAGUUAUAUAUGUAUACAGAAAUACAUGGGUGCAGAAGAUAGUAAACAAUGAAAAUAACUGGGUAGCAGAAAUUAUAUUUCUUAAUAUGAUGGGCAGAAGGUAAAUUAGAAAUUUUUACAGAAAAUAAAGAAUUGUAUGGGUUGAAGUGAAAUUUGUCAGUUAGAGAACCAAAGAGCCAAUAUCAAAGGAACCAGAAAAAAGCCAUUAACAACAGAAAAACACAAAAUCAUUGCAAAAGUAAAUGAGAAAUUUUUAGAGAUAUUAACUAAGUGUAUGGAUUGAAGUGAAAUUUAGGAAGUUUAAUUCUGUCAGUAAAUUAUGUAUGAAAUUACUUUCAUCAGUAAUUGUGAACUUCUUUCUCUCAGUAAUUUGUCAGUGUUGUUUGUAAAUAACAUUGAAAACUUAGUCAAAACAAUAGUGUCUGAAAAAUAAAAGUGAAAACAAUAGCGUCUGACAAAUGAAAGUAAAAACAAUGGAGUGAGUAAGAUAGAGAGAGAGGGGGAAAGAGAGAGAGCUAGCUAGUUAGACAAAUAAGAUAUAGACAGAUAGAUAUAGACAGAAUAGCAAUGUAUAGAGAGAUAUAGAAAGGUAUAGAGAUAGAUAGAGAGUUAUAGAUGUCACUGAUACUAGAAAACCAGAAGUAAAUAUUUUUUUUUAAACUUUCAAAGACUUGAAUCUAAUAUAAAAAGGAUUAUUAAUUUUUUUUUGUGACCAAUAGAUUUAAGGGAGACAAUCAAUUCUGGAAAUUACUUUGCAAAGACUUACUUCCCUUGUCCAUAUAACCCAGGAACAUGGGGGGGGACGUUAUUUAUUAUGUGGAAAUUUUUAAGAGUCUAAGGCCAUCCCAGUUUGGAGAAAAUAAUUUGGAAAAUAUGGCUGUUAUAAUCUUUUGCACACACAAACACACACACACAGACAGAACGAGAUUUAUAUUAUAGAUAUAUAUAUGUAACGUCUACAUUAUAUAUAUAUAUAUAUAUAUAUAUAUAUAUAUAUAUACUUGAAAGAGGGACUGAGAGAGAAUGCUAAUUUCAGUAGCAUAUAAACAAAUUAAUAAUAGAUAAAGCUUGAUCUCAGCAGGGAAGGAUUUGAAAUUAAAAAGUGUGAUGUACAGAAGAUGAUAAAGUAAUGUACUUAGUCUAAUACCAGACUCUCAUGGUCUUGAUGUCUUGAUUAUGUUUAGAAAAAAAGUUAUUUUAAUACUAUAUCUAUAUAUGAUGUAAUAAAAGUUAUUUUGAUAUCACAUUUUUCUAAUAAAUAUUUUGAUACUGAG